rnacentral:rRNA from 1 species
GUAGGGAAUAUUGGGCAAUGGAUGCAAGUCUGACCCAGCCAUCCCGCGUGCCGGAAGAAGGCCCUCAGGGUUGUAAACGGCUUUUGACGGUGAAGAAUCGACAGGAUGCGUCCUGUUUUGACGGUAGCCGUUGAAUAAGCACCGGCUAACUCCGUGCCAGCAGCCGCGGUAAUACGGGGGGUGCGAGCGUUGUCCGGGUUUAUUGGGUUUAAAGGGUGCGUAGGCUGGAAGGUCAGUCUGCGGUGAAAAGCUGUCGCUUAACGAUAGUCUUGCCGCAGAUACUUCCUUUCUUGGAUGAGGAGGAGGCCACUGGAACGGAUGGUGUAGCGGUGAAAUGCAUAGAUAUCAUCCAGAACACCGAUUGCGAAGGCAGGUGGCUGUACCUUAAUCGACGCUGAUGCACGAAAGCAUGGGGAGCAAACAGGAUUAGAUACCCGAGUAGUCC